rnacentral:rRNA from 1 species
CAACGAGGAAUGCCUAGUAAGCGCGUGUCAUCAGCAUGCGUUGAUUCUCGUCCCUGCCCUUUGUACACACCCGCCCGUCGCUACUACCGAUUGAAUGGCUCAGUGAGGCCUUCGGACUGGCCCGAGGAGGUUGGCAACGACCACCCCGGGCCGGAAAGUUCGUCAAACUCGGUCAUUUAGAGGAAGUAAAAGUCGUAACAAGGUUUCCGUAGGUGAACCUGCGGAAGG